GACGAACGCUGGCGGCGUGCUUAACACAUGCAAGUCGAACGGACAGGCCCUGCUUUUGUGGGGUGCUCGAGUGGCGAACGGGUGAGUAACACGUGAGUAACCUGCCCUUGACUUUGGGAUAACUUCAGGAAACUGGGGCUAAUACCGGAUAGGAGCUCCUGCUGCAUGGUGGGGGUUGGAAAGUUUCGGCGGUUGGGGAUGGACUCGCGGCUUAUCAGCUUGUUGGUGGGGUAGUGGCUUACCAAGGCUUUGACGGGUAGCCGGCCUGAGAGGGUGACCGGCCACAUUGCGACUGAGAGACGGCCCAGACGCCUACGGGAGGCAGCGGGGGAGAGUAUGGCAGAACGGGCGGAAGCCUGAUGCAGCAACGCCGCGUGCGGGAUGACGGCUUUCGGGUUGUAAACCGCUUUCGCCGGUGACGAAGCGGGAGUGACGGUAAUGGGUAAAGAAGCACCGGCUAACUACGUG
rnacentral:rRNA from 1 species